rnacentral:misc_RNA from 1 species
ACUUUUGCAGUUUUAAGAGUUUAUUGUGCACCUCUUAUGGUCUUUACUUUGCCUGCAUUUUGCCAUUUUCUUAAUAAUCAUAUAUUACCGGUUUCUUUUGGUCGUCUGCUUGCAGCUUUUGCAAAAUUUAUUCAGAAGUUGUAAUGUGUCAAUGGUGUUUGACAUUUUCAUGGUAUUGCAUGCUUUUGAGGCAAAUUACUUUUGUGGAUUCUGCA